CCUACGGGAGGCAGCAGUGAGGAAUAUUGGUCAAUGGGCGUAAGCCUGAACCAGCCAAGUCGCGUGAGGGAUGAAGGUUCUAUGGAUCGUAAACCUCUUUUAUAAGGGAAUAAAGUGUGGGACGUGUCCUGUUUUGUAUGUACCUUAUGAAUAAGGAUCGGCUAACUCCGUGCCAGCAGCCGCGGUAAUACGGAGGAUCCGAGCGUUAUCCGGAUUUAUUGGGUUUAAAGGGUGCGUAGGCGGCCUUUUAAGUCAGCGGUGAAAGUCUGUGGCUCAACCAUAGAAUUGCCGUUGAAACUGUUUUUCUUGAGUACUGGAGAGGCAGACGGAAUUCCUUGUGUAGCGGUGAAAUGCGUAGAUAUAAGGAGGAACACCAGUGGCGAAGGCGGUCUGCUGGACAGCAACUGACGGUGAGGCGCGAAAGCGUGGGGAGCAAACAGGAUUAGAUACCCUUGUAGUC
rnacentral:rRNA from 1 species